UGCACCACAUGUGAACGAUGG
rnacentral:misc_RNA from 1 species